rnacentral:tRNA from 1 species
GGGUAGCCUAGUGGUCAUGGCAUCUGCCCGGUAAGCGGAAGGUCGUGGGUUUAUUUUAUCCAUUCUGACCA